rnacentral:other from 1 species
AAAACCCUGCGAUGUUUGUGAUACCGUUACAAUGUUUUGAGCUAACACUUUUGACUCAGGGAGCUCGACCUCUGUAUGUGGCACAUAUGCCUUGUUCGAUCAAAAGGACAUGUAAAGCAUACAGGAGAGCACCCACCUGUGGGGAGAGAGUUCAAAACAGUGCGGUAGUCACGGCAUGGCGGGGUUUUU